rnacentral:rRNA from 1 species
GAUGAACGCUGGCGGCGUGCCUAAUACAUGCAAGUCGAGCGAACAGACGAGGAGCUUGCUUCUCUGACGUUAGCGGCGGACGGGUGAGUAACACGUGGAUAACCUACCUAUAAGACUGGGAUAACUUCGGGAAACCGGAGCUAAUACCGGAUAAUAUAUUAAAAUGAAUGGUUCUAUAGUGAAAGACGGUUUUGCUGUCACUUAUAGAUUGAUCCGCGCCGCAUUAGCUAGUUGGUAAGGUAACGGCUUACCAAGGCGACGAUGCGUAGCCGACCUGAGAGGGUGAUCGGCCACACUGGAACUGAGACACGGUCCAGACUCCUACGGGAGGCAGCAGUAGGGAAUCUUCCGCAAUGGGCGAAAGCCUGACGGAGCAACGCCGCGUGAGUGAUGAAGGUCUUCGGAUCGUAAAACUCUGUUAUUAGGGAAGAAAAAAUGUUGAAGUAACUAUGCACGUCUUGACGGUACCUAAGCAGAAAGCCACGGCUAACUACGUG